rnacentral:rRNA from 1 species
UACGAAGGGGACUAGCGUUGUUCGGAAUCACUGGGCGUAAAGCGCACGUAGGCGGAUUCGUAAGUCAGGGGUGAAAUCCCGGGGCUCAACCUCGGAACUGCCUUUGAUACUGCGGGUCUUGAGUCCGAUAGAGGUGGGUGGAAUUCCUAGUGUAGAGGUGAAAUUCGUAGAUAUUAGGAAGAACACCGGUGGCGAAGGCGGCCCACUGGAUCGGUACUGACACUGAUGAGCGAAAGCCAGGGGAGCAAACGGG